ACCAGCUCCCUUCUCACUCCCUAUCAACUUCCAACACAUCACCCUGGAUUCUGACAUCCAUAUGACAAGGGAUGACACAAUCUGAUUAGGGAUAAGAGGUCAGGAGGGAAAGAGAGGACAGCACCAACAAGCUAACACACAGUCUGAACUUGUUCGGUCCAAGAGAGCUGUGCAGGCGUGGUCAGGGACACAGGAUGCUCAGAAGACCAAGAGGGGGUUUCCUUGCUUCAUCUUAAGAACAAGCCACCAAGCCUUGAUGUUCCAGGAUGGUGCGCCCUCAUAUAC
rnacentral:lncRNA from 1 species